GGGGAUAUAGCUCAUUUGGAGAGCGCUUGCCUCUCAUGCAAGGCCCUGGGUUCAAUCCCCAGCAUCACAC
rnacentral:tRNA from 1 species